GAUGAACGCUGGCGGCGUGCCUAAUACAUGCAAGUCGAGCGAACAGACGAGGAGCUUGCUCCUCUGACGUUAGCGGCGGACGGGUGAGUAACACGUGGAUAACCUACCUAUAAGACUGGGAUAACUUCGGGAAACCGGAGCUAAUACCGGAUAAUAUAUUGAACCGCAUGGUUCAAUAGUGAAAGACGGUUUUGCUGUCACUUAUAGAUGGAUCCGCGCCGCAUUAGCUAGUUGGUAAGGUAACGGCUUACCAAGGCAACGAUGCGUAGCCGACCUGAGAGGGGGAUCGGACACACUGGAACUGAGACACGGUCCAGACUCCUACGGGAGGCAGCAGUAGGGAAUCUUCCGCAAUGGGCGAAAGCCUGACGGAGCAACGCCGCGUGAGUGAUGAAGGUCUUCGGAUCGUAAAACUCUGUUAUUAGGGAAGAACAAAUGUGUAAGUAACUAUGCACGUCUUGACGGUACCUAAUCAGAAAGCCACGGCUAACUACGUG
rnacentral:rRNA from 1 species